CUGUGACAUACCUAAAACGUUGCCUCGGCGGGAACAGACGGCCCCGUAACACGGGCCGCCCCCGCCAGAGGACCCCCUAACUCUGUUUCUAUAAUGUUUCUUCUGAGUAAACAAGCAAAUAAAUUAAAACUUUCAACAACGGAUCUCUUGGCUCUGGCAUCGAUGAAGAACGCAGCGAAAUGCGAUAAGUAAUGUGAAUUGCAGAAUUCAGUGAAUCAUCGAAUCUUUGAACGCACAUUGCGCCCGCCAGUAUUCUGGCGGGCAUGCCUGUUCGAGCGUCAUUACAACCCUCAGGCCCCCGGGCCUGGCGUUGGGGAUCGGCGGAAGCCCCCUGCGGGCACAACGCCGUCCCCCAAAUACAGUGGCGGUCCCGCCGCAGCUUCCAUUGCGUAGUAGCUAACACCUCGCAACUGGAGAGCGGCGCGGCCACGCCGUAAAACACCCAACUUCUGAAUGUUGACCUCGAAUCAGGUAGGAAUACCCGCUGAACUUAAGCAUAUCAAUAAGCGGAGGAA
rnacentral:rRNA from 1 species